UUAGGGAAGAUAAUGACGGUACCUAACGAAUAAGCAUCGGCUAACUCCGUGCCAGCAGCCGCGGUAAGACGGAGGAUGCAAGCGUUAUCCGGAAUUAUUGGGCGUAAAGCGUACGUAGGCUGUUUAAUAAGUCUGUUGUCAAAGCCCGAGGCUCAACCUUGGAUCGGCAAUGGAAACUGUUAGACUAGAGAGAGAUAGGGGCAGGAGGAAUUCCAGGUGUAGCGGUGAAAUGCGUAGAUAUCUG
rnacentral:rRNA from 1 species